GCCUACCUGACAUCUUCCUAAAAGGAGGUGGCAUAACAGAAAUAUUCUGUGAUUCUGGCCACAUAUUCAUAUUCAAAACUGAUUGAAUGAAGAAACCGUAUGUGUUCAUAAUGGUGACUCCGCUGGGGAAUGCAGAAGGUUCUAACCAUUUCAAAUUUAGGAACAUGCUAUACAACGUAGAACUGGCCUCUUAGCAGCAAACUGGGGCAAGUUAGCGAAAUGUCAAGCAUCCCUAGCUACGUCAAGGAUUCCGGCAAAGAAACUCAACUCGACUCAAAACUCUCAUUUUUUAUAAUCCUUAGCGUCAUCGCCUAGCAUCAUCUAAAUCCGACAGUGGGAAAUUUUUGAAAAUCCGCAAUAUCCUCUUCCCUCAAAAUCAUCAAAAGAUAUGACUAUCCAACAUCUCCUUAUUCCCAACUACCCCAAACAACCAUUCAGGGACAAGUACACCCGUAGCCAUUCCAUUCGUGCUAAAAUUUUGUUAUCAUCCUCGAAGAAAUUCAGUGUCACCAUAAUUCUUCAUUGGACAAAUUUUGAUAUUUAUCAAAAUUUUGUUAUGAUUCGAACUACAUUGACCUGAUUCUCGCGACACUCGAGAUAUGUAGGAAAUUUUAUGCAGAGUUCAAUCAUCACAAUCUCCCAAUCAUUCUUUCUCCCCUAGUACACAAUCUUUCAUCUCCAACAUUUCACAUCGAUACUGGGGCAAUUUGAAAAGAGCAUCGGAAAUAUAUUAACACUUCUGUUUCUAAACAGUCCUCUCCCCAAUAAUCAUUUCACAUGAUCAUUCAUUCCUAAUAACAAGGUAAUAAAUAAAUUGCCUAUUAUUUUAAAUUACACCUGAUUUGAUCAUCAUACCACUCGAGGUAUGUAUACAACUCUAAAUUAGAGUUUGAAUUUUUCUUUAAAAAAAAAAAGAAGAAGAAAAAAAAGAAAACAAAGAAAAAAUUAUUUUUUGUCGAGUAAAAUUGGCUACACGUCAACGUUUUCAUUUGAAGACUAAUAAAUCAUCCUAAAAUGAAAAGGGGCAACUGUUGAUACCUAAUUUUUGCUCUUCGUGCCUAAAAUUGACGUCUUCAGGCUUCCUGAUCAUUAAAGGGCAUAAAAUGUAAUUUUUUACUCCUUUUCACAAUUAUUUUUGAUAAAUUAUUGAUAAUCAUCCUUACUUUAGGAUUUUAAUCAAUUUGUUGUCACCUUUUUACUUUUCAUAAUUUAUUAAUACUUUUUCUUAUUUCGAAAUUUUUAUCAAUUUAUUAUCUUUUAAUAUUUUUAAAAUCAUCCGCACACGUGCACAACGUGACGUCACAUUUUUUUACAGUAUUGAGAUGAUUGAUGAAUAGUAAUGAUGAAUAGUAAUGUAGUAUUGAUGAAUAGUAAUAUACUGUAGAUGUGUAAUUUUGUCCAUCCCUGAAUAAUUAAUAUUUACUCAUUUUUAACCUCUCUGUACUCUACCCCACCUAUAACUUUCCCACCUAAUAUUCCAUCUACCACCUAACAUAAUUAUUUUUUUUACUACAACACCACACAUAUUCACACACUUAAUUUCAUAGAUUUUAGAAUUUUUAUCAUUUUAUUACAAUUUUAAUAUUUUUGCACAGUCAUCUGCGUACGUAUAUAAUAUAACACUGCAAUUUUUUUUACGUAAUUAUAAUUCUAAUUAUUUAUAGUAUAAAAUAUUUUUUAAGAUAAUUGUAUUAGUUCUUUAUAUUUUUCUAUAAUUAUACAUCGACAUCAUAUAUUUAUACAUUGUAGACACAUAAUUUUAUCUCUCCCCAAAUAAUUAUAUCUCCCAUCUACCCUUUCACACUUAACACUCCACCAACAAAUUCUACAAAAAGAAAAUGAGGGGCCCACAUCAUCAUAAUAUUCUACAUCCACCCAUCAUCUUCCCCAAUUUUCCUUCCUUUUUCAAAACAAUACACGAUACAUGUACAUAUUUUCUCCACACACUUUUGACCACAACAAAAUAUUCUUACACCUUUCCAACACAAUUACACCUCACAUAGGCCCACACAAUUAUUUUCACACCGCAACAAUUAAUAACAUUAUCUCCUUCAUUUUUUUUACACAGAACACACAUAGCGCACUGCCUAAGAAUUCACACACCUCACACACUGAUCUUCAACUGAAUACACACACGGUACAUACAAAGACAAAAAAAAAAAAAAAAUUGGUCAGAUCUUGUGUACUAACGUUGCUCCGGUGAAAGCUAUGGAAGCAACGCCUAACUGGGUCCUCAAGAAUAUUUGUCGGGAGUGACAUUUAAAGAAGACUUUGAACUUUAGUGUUGUAUUUCUAUAUUUUUAUACUUGUACAAAGUAUUAUCAUAGUGAAAACUUUAUUUUUGGGUGUUGGGUGGGGAUAUGUUUACUUACACAAUCUUUAACACACAUUUAGGCAAAUUUAGGCCGUUAAUUUUUAUAUCAAAUUAAUUGAGAUAUCUAAUCAAAUAAUUCAUAUUUUUUACACUAAAAACAUUAUAUAAUUUUUUUUCUUUAAAAU